UACGGGGGGGGCAAGCGUUGUUCGGAAUUACUGGGCGUAAAGGGCUCGUAGGUGGCCAACUAAGUCAGACGUGAAAUCCCUCAGCUUAACUGGGGAACUGCGUCUGAUACUGGAUGGCUUGAGUUUGGGAGAGGGAUGCGGAAUUCCAGGUGUAGCGGUGAAAUGCGCAGAUAUCAGGAAGAACACCCGUGGCGAAGGCGGCUCUCUGGGACGUGACUGACGCUGAGACGCGAAAGCGUGGGGAGCGAACAGG
rnacentral:rRNA from 1 species